rnacentral:rRNA from 1 species
GACGAACGCUGGCGGCGUGCUUAACACAUGCAAGUCGAACGGAAAGGUCCUGCUUUUGUGGGUUGCUCGAGUGCCGAACGGGUGAGUAACACGUGAGUAACCUGCCCUUGACUUUGGGAUAACUUCAGGAAACUGGGGCUAAUAUCGGAGAGGAGCUCCUGCUGCAUGGUGGGGGAUGGAAAGAUUCGGCGGUUGGGGAUGGACUCGCGGCUUAUCAGCUUGUUGGUGUGGUAGUGGCUUACCAAGGCUUUGACGGGUAGCCGGCCUGAGAGGCUGACCGGCGACAUUGGGACUGAGAUACGGCCCAGACUCCUACGGGAGGCAGCAGUGGGGAAUAUUGCACAAUGGGCGGAAGCCUGAUGCAGCAACGCCGCGUGCGGGAUGACGGCCUUCGGGUUGUAAACCGCUUUCGCCUGUGACGAAGCGUGAGUGACGGUAAUGGGUAAAGAAGCACCGGCUAACUACGUG